ensembl:miRNA Mir3963 microRNA 3963
UGGAAUGUAUCCCACUUCUGACACUGGUGAUAUUGUUUAAUAUCUUACAGGUUUUAGGUGGAAUAUUUUCC